rnacentral:rRNA from 1 species
UACGAAGGGAGCUAGCGUUGUUCGGAAUCACUGGGCGUAAAGCGCACGUAGGCGGAUUUGUAAGUCAGGGGUGAAAUCCCGGGGCUCAACCUCGGAACUGCCUUUGAUACUGCAAAUCUCGAGUCCGAUAGAGGUGGGUGGAAUUCCUAGUGUAGAGGUGAAAUUCGUAGAUAUUAGGAAGAACACCGGUGGCGAAGGCGGCCCACUGGAUCGGUACUGACGCUGAGGUGCGAAAGCCAGGGGAGCAAACGGG